GCGAAAAGAAAGACUGAAAAUGCCAUCUGACCAGUUGAAGGGAAUCAGGGGAAGCUUUCUAAAGGAAGUGGCAUUUGGUCUAUACGUUGAGGGGCAGGUAAAUAUCUGAGUGGAAUGACUGGAUCAUAUGAUAAGGAGUUCAUAUGCUGGAAUGAUAGUGACACAGGAGUUUAACACUCCUACAGUAUCCAGAGCCUGGAUCCCUGAGUCAUCAGAUGGAGAAGAACUACUCAGGAGAGUCAUCCAACCUUCAUAGACAGUGGCAUGAGUG
rnacentral:lncRNA from 1 species